AUUUAUUUUGCCAAGCGCAAGGCCGUCUUUCACUGCAUCUCUGUAAAACAUCAACCGGACUCCAUCCGACGGCAAGAUUCAGCCAUUAUUUCAAACCUACGAUGGCAGAUCACCGCAGCAUCGUAAUGUAGUCAACUUACCGCAGGCAACAAUCCACAGGUCGCUGAACCAGUCGUUCCCUCGUAUUCAGCUCCCCAGUAUGCUUACCCUCCAUCUAACGGUUGUGAAUCCAGUUUUUAUGAGAGCCACCAGUUCCCAGAGAACGGCCUGAACCCGAUCUUCUAUGACGAGAUCUACGAGGCAUGCCCGCCUGACCUCUGCGCUGAAAACUCUUACAACCCGUACAAUUCCAGUCUGUGCAGCCCCCCAGUCAAUUACCAGACACCAGCCCACUACAAUCACUCAGCUGUGAUUUCAGGAUCUCCUGCAUAUGCUUCAGUGGAUUAUGAAUAUUCUAGCCAGCAUGUUGCAUUGUCUGCCCAAGACUUCUGUCCAUCUUCACACUUGGAACCCAAGUCCUUUUAUCCAGCUUCUGAAGAGUAUUUCACUCACCAACACUACAGCUGCACAUCAGCCAUCUGUUCUAUAUUUUCCUACGUGCCAGACAACAUGGAAAUGGGCCCUGUGUCUGAAAACGGGUCCUUUCCAGAGUACAAAGACUAUUCAACUGGAUUGCUCACAGAGGAUAUUUGGAGAGGAAAUCUAAAUGAAUGUUUGGACUAUUGAAAUAAUUCUAGAGCAUGCUUUGAGAACAUAUUUUCUUCCUCAUACACCUGUAAAAAAAAAAAAUUUGAUUGUUUGAAUGAGCAUAGUUUCUCUUCACCAAUGUUGUAAAGCCAGCAAGGAAAGAUGUCCAAAUCCAGAACACUCGGAUCACUACAGCUCUCACUUUUUUCAUUAAUUUUCUCUGGAUUUUUUCCCCUUUCUAUCCAAUUAUAAUGCGUUUUUGCUGGGCUUAGUACCAUGUGCUAGUCACUCUAUAUGCCAUGCUUAUGGUUUACUCACUAUGUGUGUUUUUGUUAGACUGAACUUGCUUGGAUAUAUGGUCAUUACCAAUACCUACAUACAGAUUGGGGGGUGGGGAGGUGAAAUAGCUGAAUAUUUUUCUGAAGUAUCUGAUGUUACAUCAAGGGCACUGAGAUGAGGAGUAAGGUCUACUCUGCUGAGAAUAGAACCUGGGCUUUUUGGCCUACAUCUUUACUAAUCACUAGAUAAACACACACAAAGUGCUGGAGAAACUCAGCAGGUCAGGCACCAUCUGAACCAGAAUCCAAACAGAAUUUGGUUAAAUCUAGAUCAAAAAGCCAUAAGAUAUAGAAACAGAAUUAAGACAUUUGGCCCAUCGUGUCUGCUCUACCAUUUCAUCAUGGCUGAUCUAUUUUUCCUCCCAGCCCCAAUCUCCUGGCUCCCCUCACCCCACUUAUCCCUUCAUGCCCUGGCCAAUCAAACAUCUAUCAACCUCUGCCUUAAAUAUACAUUAAGAAUUGGCUUCCACAGCUGCCUGUGGUAAAGGAUUCCACAGAUUCAACACCCUUUGGCUAAAUAAAUUUCUCCUCAUCUUCAUUCUAAAAGGACAGCCCUCUAUUCUGAGGCUGUGUCCACUGAUUUUAGAUCCUCCCACCAUAGGAACCAUCCUCUCCAUAUCCACUCUAUCAAGACCUUUCACCAUUCAAUAGAUUUCAAUGAGGUGACCCCUCAUUCUUCUGAAUUCCAGUGAGUACAGGCCCAGAGCCAUCAAGCAGGGAGCUAAGCACACAGCCUUAUGGUGAACCUGUGCUGAUGGAGAUUGUAGAGGAGAUGUUGUUGCCAAUCUGAACUGACUGGGGUCUGCAAGUGAGGAAAUCCAGGAUCCAGUUGUACAAGGAGGUAUUGAGGCCCAGGUCUUGGAGCGUAAUGACUAGUUCUGAGGGGAUGAUAGUAUUGAAUGCUGAGCUGCAGUCAAUGAAGAGUGGCCUGAUGCUAUAGUUACAUUCAUUAGUGAAUUAAGACUGCAAUUUGCUACAAAUUGAUUUCCAAUGGCCAUAUGUGAGUAGAGGAGAACAGAUUGGUCGACGCAACCUUAGUACACUCCUCUGGAUUGCUUCAUUUGUAUCAUUUACUACUAUCUGUAGGUCAGUAGGCUUGAUAUUCUUUUCCUACGAUUUUACCUUUACAAUCUUUGUUCAGAUCUGGUCAAACUCAUGAGUUAUUCAAUUGAACAAUGACAACUAACACAAACUGCACAUCAGGUUGGAAACUGAAUCGUUGGGAAUGAGUGGGAAGGAAAGAGGAAUGAUGUAUUCCUGUUGAUGCUUGCGCAGUUAACCAAAUUUUCAUUGGUGAAGGGCUGCUUUCUUGCAACCAACUCCUUUGACACACUUCACAAUUUCAGCUUUAUUAGAAGUGGUGUAUUUCUGUUUCUGGUGAGCUGGUGAGUGCUUAGUUGUUUAAUCUCACACGCUGGGGCAAUAUGUCAAUAUGGGAAUAGUUUUUGUUCAGAUGAAUCAGAACUUUAGUUUUCCAUUUGACUAUGCAUUUUAAAUGCCUAGAUUGUCUUUUUCUUUGUAGUUCAUAUGUUGUAGUGUCUCCUGGAAAUGAAAUUCUUAUGCUUCUGUAGAACAGAAAUACCACUGAACCAUUAUUUUGAUGUUUUGAAAAUAAACAUUUUUUAUGAA